ACUAUUCUCCAUCGCUCGCAGCCUCCCGCAUCCCACCUCGUUCGCCUUCCCCGGCGCCGGCGCCUCCACCACCAGCGGGCACCUGUGUGGAUCUGCCGUCGUCCUAUAUAUAGCUAGGUGAGGUCCAGCCGCCUCUUCUCCUGCUUCCUUCGUUACGCUGCCCUGCCCGGGGAUCCCACUCCGCCUCCGCCCUUCAUUCCAGCCACACGUGAUUUCUUCUCCCUCCAACUCUACUCUCCCCUUUUUAUUAUCUUCUCCUCUCAUGGAGUGGAUUUUUGCUCAUUCAGCUAGUGCUGCCGUUUCUUCAUUUCUCCUCAAAUAAUCGUGCUCCCUCCACUAGUGCAUAAGUUUCACUUCACACAAUUUGCAUCCAAGUUCUAAAGUCAUACCCAACACAUCCUUAACUUUUAUUUUCACUUUCGGUCAACAAUAUUAUAGUUACUACGGAGUACGUGCUACGGUGAUCCUGAUGUGAGAUCAAGCUACUUUUGUUAGACUGCUGCAUCUGUUUUUGGAUCUGUGGAUGUUUGUAAUUAGCCAUGCGAGGAAAGCCGUGGACAAGACUUGCCCCUUUCAUAUCCAAGCGUCAUAUUUCAACCUCUCAGACCUCAUUAUCUUCAUCCUGCUCAUCAUGAUCCGCGAUACAGCCAUGGCUCUUUGUUGGUCUUGGUAACCCUGAUCCUGUGACACCCCAUUUCGCUGCAGGCUGGGUUUGAUAUGAUAGACAUGUUUGCACAGUCUCAGGGUAUAUCUCCGACCAGGCAUCACUUCAAGGCACUAUUUGCGGAAGGAAUGGUCGAAGGUGUGCCUGUUUUGCUCGCUAAGCCUCAAACGUAUAUGAAUCUCAGUGGUGAAUCUGCAAGCAUCACUUUUAGAACUCUUUCCAUGUUUUAAUAUCUGAUUUCUACUCUGCCCUACUAUCUUGGAAUAAAUCUAUUUCGUGUCCCUUAACUCUUGGCAUGGUUUAACUUUUGUCCCUGAAUUCUAAAACUAAAUCACUCUGGCUCGUGGUUUAUUGCCACUACUAAUCUUCGAACAGUUGCAUGCCCCUGUCCUGGUCAUUGACCGAUGGUUCAUGCUUUCCAUCAUGAGCAUAUCUUGUCAUAUUCUGUUGUGCCUUUUUUUUUUCUGUCAGCCUCGGGAUUGAGUUUGCCAGUUUCAUGAGAAGCUAGUAUUGGCACUGAAAUAUGUUCCAUCAAGAGUAAAUUGCGCCUACAGUACAUAGAACUUAUAAAUUGCUCGCUCUGAUACUACAACUUGCUUAGUCCGUGUGAACUAAGACUAAAUGGCCCAUACAAGUUAUACUAAGGUACUACUAAGCAAGUAGUACCAAACGAGCGAUUUGCAAGUUGCUAUACUUAUUUGCAUCCACCACCUAAGUUUGUGUAUUGUGAGUGUAAUUUACUCUUCCAUCAAACUCAACAAAAGACUAACAAACUCUGCUGCCACCAGUUCACUGGUUCACCUCAUUCACGUCCUACAUGUAUUCGACAUUCUUCACCUAAAUCCCCUCAUUCACUCCGGGGAAUGCAGUGGCGGAGCUUAGGCUAAAUUCUAGAGGGGAACAACACUUACCAGAGUUACAUAAGAAAGAGGGGGGCAUUUUGUAAUUUAAUCACUUGCUAUGGGUAAAUAUGUGCUUCAUGCCUACAUUUAUUUUAAAUCUUGCAAAGCUGGGGGAGGCAAAGACCCAGGUUGGUCUCUAUGAUCCUCUGCAACUGCCAGAAUGGUUUGAGGUCAAACUGUGAUUGCCUCAGCAGAAACACUGAUGUUGUCGUCAUUGGUGGUGGGUCUCUUGAGUACCACCAAUUUAGGAUGAUACAUUAAACUUUUUGAGGAUUAGGCUUAUUUACUAGUGGAAGUGGUGCUAUUACUCAUCAGAGUUUCCUGGCCACAAGCCUGGAGAAUGAAUAUGUGGCUGCAAUGGGUAGGUUAUGGGUGACCAAAAAGGUUCAGUCCAAUUGAGCUAAUUUAAGUCGAUAUAACUGCAGGGCAAUCCUGGCACUUCUUAUUAUCUUGAUUUUGAGAUAAUUUAGAAUAUAUACCAUAUUUGGAUGCUAUGGAAUGUCAAAGAAUGGAGUACAUCAAUGUUUUUGAUGUUACUAACUGAAUCAGAACGAUUUGCUAAGAGCCAUUUCCCCCUAAAUUCAAUUAUGUCCGCAGCUUUACUUUGGUUGGGGCAACCAAAAGCCUAUCAACAAUCAGAAUUUUAGUUGCUAUGACUUGAACUUGAUAUCUCAAUAUGUCUGUUUUGUUUUGGUUACUUCUAUGUCUUAUUUCUUUGAUAGGUCGUGUGUAAUUCAGCUUGUAGAAAUUCCUUUAACUGGACAUAAAAAAAUGGUUAUACCAUACUGACCCUGAUCUGAUGACUCUUGGUGAUAAGUCUUUUUUGGCCUAUUGCAGGUUGGGCCACUUGCUGCCUAUUAUAAACUACCACUUAAUCGUGUCCUUGUGGCAUUUGAUGGCACGGACCUGCCCUGUGGAAUUCUUCGUUUACAACCUAAAGGAGGAUUCGGGCGCCAUAAUGGGUCUGUUGAUUUUGUAACCAUGUGUUUUAAUGAAGUAAUUUGUCAUUCAAAAGAUUGAUUCAGCCAUAGAAGAGGGUGUUGAGAUUCUAAAGUUGGUUGUUACCAAGGGUUUAUGAGUCUGCAAGAUCAUCAAAUUGGAUCAGAAGGAUAAGCAUCUAGCAACCAUCUGACAACACAUGACAUGCAACUGUAAAGAUGACGAUAGACGCUGCUUAUCUGAGAAAGCGAUCUAAGCCUGUUGAAUUUCCCUCAAAAAUGCCUGAUGGGAGAACCUGAUAACAUCUACACCUCAUGAUUCAUUGAUUUGUCACACUUGCUACAAUGGCCGUCUCCUUUGCAUUGGAUUUGUAAGUGUUGAUGCUGCCAAUGUUUCUUUUUAUACUUUUGUACUACUGACUUAAUAAAAACUUGAAGGUUCUAUC